UGUAAGCGUAUACCAAAGUUGUUGCAGUUAAAACGCUCGUAGUCGGAAUUUGGCAGUUCCGGAUGUGUGCACGUCGUGUGCGCACUUCGCGGGGAUUGCUUUUGUGGUCUUGCGUAGGAUGAGGCACUUUUAUUAGUGAACGUCCUCACGCAACCACUUUUUACUGUGAGAAAAUCAGAGUGCUCAAAGCAGGCAUUUGCCGUGAAUGUAUUAGCAUGGAAUAAUAGAAUAGGACUUGGUUCUAUUUUGGUGGUUUGUUGGGACUGAGUAAUGAUUAAGAGGGACAGUUGGGGGCAUUUGUAUUUCGGUGCUAGAGGUGAAAUUCUUAGAUUACCGAAAGACAAACUGCUGCGAAAGCGUCUGCCAAGGAUGUUUUCAUUGA
rnacentral:rRNA from 1 species